ensembl:ncRNA K02H8.2 ncRNA
GCAAAAACAUCCCCACUUUGUUCAUUGUGGCUUGGAAUUUAGUAAAUUUUGAAUUUGAAUUUCGAAUCAAAAGUUGAAAGGAACAUUUCUAAAAUAGUAUUCUUGUCACAUGUGUCAUCGGAGACAAAAAACUAAAAAUAAAAAUUGUUACUGGUUAGUCAUAUGGUGAAACAUGGACACAAAAGGAAACGAGAAAAAAAUCAGGAACAUCUGAUUUUUUUUCG